rnacentral:siRNA from 1 species
GAAAGAGGUGUCGUCUAUCGU